CAGCAAAGGUGAUGGGAUGUCACUCUGGGGAUGACUCACAUCACACAGGACUGUCUUUUGGGGAGACUCGCUGUCUCCCUCACUGGCUCUGAAGAAGCCAGCAGCUGCCACAGAUCCUACAACUGAAAGGAGCUGAGUGUUACCAAACACAUGCGAGCAGGGGCAUGCACGCUCCCCCAGUCAGACUCCGCAUGAGAACCCGCCCUGGACAUAACCUGGCGACCGCCUUGUGAGACCCCAGCAGGAGAGCCGGCAAGUCCGUCGCUGGACUCCUGACUCAUGGAUUCCUUGAGAUAACAGAGAUGGAGUGUCACAAUGUUGCCAAGGCUGGUCUGGAACUCCUGGACUCAAGUGAUCCUCCCACCUGGGCCUCCAGAAGUGUUGGGAUUACACUGAACUGUGAGCCCUGCAGAAAUAUUGAAGUGUAAAGUCAUGGGUCCUGGGGAGAAGAGAGAAGUGGAGAAGAAUGGAACUUCUUUUAAGGUCGAGGGUCUGGUGCUACACAUUCCGGGAAGUCAAUGCAAGCAGUUCUUACUCUGGAAAAUGCGAAAACCUCCCAAGGUUUCAACAUGUUGGUUUAGAACUAAACCAACCAAAAAUGUUGGUUUAGAACUAAAAAUAUUGGCUUAAAACCAAAAAUGUUUGUUUAGAAUUAAAAAUAAUGGCCACUAUAUUGAAUGCAUGUGUUUUUCAGAUUCCAGUUUAAUUAAAAUCAGUG